rnacentral:rRNA from 1 species
ACGAACGCUGGCGGCAGGCUUAACCCCUGCAAGUCGCGCGCCCCGCAAGGGGAGCGGCAGACGGGUGAGUAACGCGUGGGAACGUACCUUUUGGUUCGGAACAACUCCGGGAAACUGGAGCUAAUACCGGAUAAGCCCUAACGGGGAAAGAUUUAUCGCCGAAAGAUCGGCCCGCGUCUGAUUAGCUAGUUGGUGAGGUAACGGCUCACCAAGGCGACGAUCAGUAGCUGGUCUGAGAGGAUGAUCAGCCACACUGGGACUGAGACACGGCCCAGACUCCUACGGGAGGCAGCAGUGGGGAAUAUUGGACAAUGGGCGCAAGCCUGAUCCAGCCAUGCCGCGUGAGUGAUGAAGGCCUUAGGGUUGUAAAGCUCUUUUGUCCGGGAAGAUAAUGACUGUACCGGAAGAAUAAGCCCCGGCUAACUUCGUG